CUGAUUAGAAGCUUGCUUCUAUGACGUUAGCGGCGGACGGGUGAGUAACACGUGGGCAACCUGCCUGUAAGACUGGGAUAACUUCGGGAAACCGAAGCUAAUACCGGAUAGGAUCUUCUCCUUCAUGGGAGAUGAUUGAAAGAUGGUUUCGGCUAUCACUUACAGAUGGGCCCGCGGUGCAUUAGCUAGUUGGUGAGGUAACGGCUCACCAAGGCAACGAUGCAUAGCCGACCUGAGAGGGUGAUCGGCCACACUGGGACUGAGACACGGCCCAGACUCCUACGGGAGGCAGCAGUAGGGAAUCUUCCGCAAUGGACGAAAGUCUGACGGAGCAACGCCGCGUGAGUGAU
rnacentral:rRNA from 1 species